CAGGAAGCACUUCAUUUUGCUACUCGGCUAUAUCUCAACGGCAAACCAGCUUUGAUACGCUGCUCCGCAUGGCUGAACUCAGCCUACUGAGCAAAACCGCUGCUGAACAAACUCAUGGGGAUUGCGGAAUAUGCCUCUUUAGAUAUGACAUCAUUCAUAAACAUGAAGACGUCAUCUACAAACAGGAGUUCGGGUCACAGUAACCUGGGGGUCCAGCCGGCCCCACUGGCCCAGGAAUGCCUGGUCUGCCAGGUGUACCAGGGUUGCCAGGGCGACCAGACGGGCCAGGGCCACCAGUCCUUCCCUCACCAGAUCCUGCCUGGUAAUCCAUAAUCUCAUCUGUAAUCCAGCACCUCUGCCUCCAGGUUGGCCGCUCUCGCCAUUAGAUCC